rnacentral:misc_RNA from 1 species
AACGGUCUAUACCUGCGGUACCUGCGGAAGGAUCAUUACCGAGUGAGGGCCCUCUGGGUCCAACCUCCCACCCGUGUUUAUUUUACCUUGUUGCUUCGGUGGGCCCGCCGAGAGGCCGCUGGGGACUUCUGUCCCGGGCCCGUGCCCACCGGAGACCAACUGAACUCUGUCUGAAUAUUGCAGUCUGAGCAUAUAACUAAAUUAGUUAAAACUUUCAACAACGGAUCUCUAGAUCGGAAG